CCCUUAGAUGUUCUGGGCCGCACGCGUGCUACACUGACCGGCGCAACAAGCUUUUUUCCUUGGCUCGACAGGCCUGGGUAAUCUUCGAACGCCGGUCGUGAUGGGGAUAGAUCCUUGCAAUUUUUGAUCUUCAACGAGGAAUUCCCAGUAAACGCAAGUCAUCAGCUUGCAUUGAUUACGUCCCUGCCCUUUGUACACACCGCCCGUCGCACCUACCGAUUGAAUGGUCCGGUGAAAUCUCGGGACGGCGGCUCGGUCGCUUGCGUCCGACUGCUGAAACUUGAUUAAACCAUAUCAUUUAGAGGAAGGUGAAGUCGUAACA
rnacentral:rRNA from 1 species